GACGAACGCUGGCGGCGUGCUUAACACAUGCAAGUCGAACGGAAAGGCCCUGCUUUUGUGGGGUGCUCGAGUGGCGAACGCGUGAGUAACACGUGAGUAACCUGCCCUUGACUUUGGGAUAACUUCAGGAAACUGGGGCUAAUACCGGAUAGGAGCUCCUGCUGCAUGGUGGGGGUUGGAAAGUUUCGGCUGUUGGGGCUGGACUCGCGGCUUAUCCGCUUGUUGGUCGGGUAGUUGCUGACCAAGGCUUUGACGGGUAGCCGGCCUGAGAGGGUGACCGGCCACAUUGGGACUGAGAUACGGCCCAGACUCCUACGGGAGGCAGCAGUGGGGAAUAUUGCACAAUGGGCGGAAGCCUGAUGCAGCAACGCCGCGUGCGGGAUGACGGCCUUCGGGUUGUAAACCGCUGUCGCCUGUGACGAAGCGUGAGUGACGGUAAUGGGUAAAGAAGCACCGGCUAACUACGUG
rnacentral:rRNA from 1 species